GCCAGAUUAAUAGAGUUCCAUGUACUGUAGAUGAAAUAAAAAUGUAUCCUACUAAGGAUAAGGAAAGUUGGUAUGCAGCAAUGAAUAAGGAACUGAACUCAUUAAAGAAUAUGAAAGUAUAUGAGAAUGCGAGAUUACCUGUAGAUAUGAAGUCCAUUGGCUGCAAAUGGAUUUUUAAGGUAAAAUCUGAUAAAGAUGGAAAUAUAAUCCAUAAGGCACGAUUAGUAGCCCAAGGUUUUAGACAGAAUGCCAAUGACUAUGAUGAGGUGUUUGCACCUAGUCUUAAGGCAGCAACCUUGAGGGCAGCUUUAGUGUGGGCAGCUGGCAAAAAAAAUAUAAUUAACCACCUAGAUGUGGAAACCGCUCACUUGCACGCCCCAUUAAGACACACUAUAUAUAUGAAAAAACCUGUUGGAAUUAAAAGUGAAAUAAUAGAUAAUAAUGAUUGUUGGUUGUUAAAAAAAAGCCUCUAUGGUCUUAAACAAUCAGGCUAUGAAUGGAACCAGUAUAUUGUAAAGGAACUAAACAAUAUAGGAUUCAGAGCUGGGUUAGCCGAUCCAUGUCUAUUUAAGAGGGAGACAAAUGGCAAAAUAUCAUUAUUAUUGUUGUUCACUGAUGAUAUUGCAUUGAUUACUGAAACUAAUGAUGAAGCCAAUAAAAUAAUAGCAUCAUUAGGAAAGAAAAUAAAGAUUAAGCAAUUAGGGGAGAUAAAAAAAUAUCUCGGUUUAAAUCUACAAAAAACACAGAAGGGCUUUAAGAUAUCUAAGGAAGAUAAGAUAUGCAAAUUGCUAAUAGAUUAUAAAAUGGAGCUUUGUAAGCCAGCUAAGACUCCAAUGAGUCAGGAGUUUAGCAACACUGAUGCACAAAGCCCGGAGUUUGAUAAGGUAAUUUAUCAAUCAUUAAUUGGUAGUUUGUCUUAUAUUAGCAACUGGUCUAGACCAGACAUUUCGUACAGUGUGAAUCAGUUAGCUCGUUUCAAUUCUGCACCGAAUGAAAGACACUGGAUUGCAGCUAAAAGAAUAUUAAGAUAUCUUAAAAAGACAAUGAAUUAUUCAUUGUAUCUAGAGCCAAAAGGUGAUCUAAUUCUGAGUGCUUAUGCUGAUGCUAGUUUUGCA
rnacentral:lncRNA from 1 species